UACAGAAGGUGCGAGCGUUAUUCAUAAUUACUGGGCGUAAAGGGUAUGUAGGUGGAAUAGCAAAUUUGGCUCAAAAGCCUGGAGUCGUAACUUCAGACCUAAGCUUUUAGAUUGCUAUUCUUUUUUAGAGUUAAUAACGGGUCGGAGGAACUUUUAGCGAAAAGUUAGAAUUUUACGAUUCUAAAAGGAACACCAAAGGCGAAGGCAUCCCUCUAGUGUUAACUGACGCUGAGGUACGGAAGCGUAGGGAUCAAACAGG
rnacentral:rRNA from 1 species